CAAAAAUAAAAAUUUAAAAAACAACAAAAUCUGAAAACAGUAGGAGACAGAUACAAUACAAACUUUGUGUCCAAGUUCCAAUCAAAUUCAUUCCAAAUUUAAGUUGAUUAGAAUAAAAAAUAAGAAAAAUAAAACCUACUUUUUUCCAAUAUAAAUAAAAGUGAAAGUUGCAACGAAAAAAACACAACAACAAAUCUGAGAGAAGGAGCCGCAAUAAAAAUAAAAAAAAAACAGAGAGCAAAGAAGCAGUAAACUUGCGAGGGAGUUCACUGCACUCCAGUCUAUCUAAACAAAGAGGAGAUUAAACGACCAAAGUAGCAAAUGAAGAAAGAGUUGGAAAUCCUAAUAGAGAGGUGGGAAGAAAGAUUAAAGAUGAUGAGGAAAAUCCGCGCAGAGUUAAUAGCGCAACAACACCAAUUAAAUAGAGAGCUUGAAGAAGGAUAUGAAGAGAUACUCGAGAUUAUCAUGGAAGAAGAAGGUGUGAGAAAGAAGGAUAUGAAGAGAUACUCGAGAUUAUCAUGGAAGAAGAAGAAGAAGGUGUGAGUAAGAAGAAGCUUUGAAGGAAGGAAGGAAGGAGGGAUUCAUGCACAAUUGAUAUUACCACUAUGUUAGUUAGUUAGUUCAUCAUAACAUAUGGGAAGAUAUUUAUUUAUUUAUUUAUUUGAAUGUUGUGAAUUAGUAUCAAAUUACAUCAAGGUCCAAUCUAGUUUUCAAACUUA